CCAAAGUGCAAAUUAGGAGACGCGCCCGGAAANGGUGCCGGGGCUUCUCCCCUUU
rnacentral:tRNA from 1 species